GAUGAAGAACGUAGCGAAAUGCGAUAAGUAAUGUGAAUUGCAGAAUUCAGUGAAUCAUCGAAUCUUUGAACGCACAUUGCGCCCCUUGGUAUUCCGAGGGGCAUGCCUGUUCGAGCGUCAUUAUAACCCCUCAAGCUCAGCUUGGUGUUGGGGCCUGCUGCACUGGCAGCCCUUAAAAUCAGUGGCGGCGCCAUCUGGCUCUAAGCGUAGUAAUUCUUCUCGCUAUGGAGCCCUGGUGGAUGCUUGCCAUCAACCCCCAAUUUUUCUAUGGUUGACCUCGGAUCAGGUAGGGAUACCCGCUGAACUUAAGCAUAUCAAUAAGCGGAGGA
rnacentral:misc_RNA from 1 species